rnacentral:rRNA from 1 species
CUCCCAGCACGGGGAGGUAGUGACGAAAAAUAACGAUACGGGACUCAUCCGAGGCCCCGUAAUCGGAAUGAGUUGACUUUAAAACUUUUUCCUAAAGACAAUUGGAGGGUAAGUCUGGUGCCAGCAGCCGCGGUAAUUCCAGCUCCAAUAGCGUAUAUUAAAGUUGUUGCGGUUAAAAAGCUCGUAGUCGCAUUUGUGUCCCGCGCCGCUGGUUCAUCGCUCGCGGUGUUCAACUGGCGUGUUUUGCGGGACGUCCUGUCGGUGGGUGCUUGUAUCGUUUCGGCGGUGCAACGCCCUAUUUGUAGCCGUCUUGUGCGGUUGCAAAUCCCAUCGCGGUGCUCUUUAUUGAGUGUCGAGGUGGGCCGCCACAUUUACUUUGAACAAAUUAGAGUGCUUAAAGCAGGCCAUUGCCUGAAUAUUCUGUGCAUGGAAUAAUAGAAAAGGACCUCGGUUCUAUUUUGUUGGUUUUCUGAAACCCGAGGUAAUGAUGAAUAGGAACGGAUGGGGGCAUUCGUAUUGCGACGUUAGAGGUGAAAUUCUUGGAUCGUCGCAAGACGGACUGAAGCGAAAGCAUUUGCCAAAAACGUUUUCAUUGAUCAAGAACGAAAGUUAGAGGUUCGAAGGCGAUCAGAUACCGCCCUAGUUCUAACCAUAAACGAUGCCAGCUAGCGAUCCGCCGACGUUCCUCCGAUGACUCGGCGGGCAGCUUCCGGGAAACCAAAGCCUUUGGGUUCCGGGGGAAGUAUGGUUGCAAAGCUGAAACUUAAAGGAAUUGACGGAAGGGCACCACCAGGAGUGGAGCCUGCGGCUUAAUUUGACUCAACACGGGAAAUCUCACCGGGCCCGGACACCGGAAGGAUUGACAGAUUGAUAGCUCUUUCUUGAUUCGGUGGGUGGUGGUGCAUG